AGUCCACGCCGUAAACGAUGGAUACUAGCUGUUCGACCAACAUUGGUUGGUUGAGUGGCUAAGCGAAAGUGAUAAGUAUCCCACCUGGGGAGUACGGUCGCAAGACUGAAACUCAAAGGAAUUGACGGGGGCCCGCACAAGCGGUGGAGCAUGUGGUUUAAUUCGAUGAUACGCGAGGAACCUUACCAGGGCUUAAAUGUAAGUUGCAUGAUUUAGAGAUAGAUCUUUCUUCGGACUACUUACAAGGUGCUGCAUGGUUGUCGUCAGCUCGUGCCGUGAGGUGUCAGGUUAAGUCCUAUAACGAGCGCAACCCCUGUCGUUAGUUGCCAGCAAGUUAAGUUGGGCACUCUAGCGAGACUGCCAGUGCAAACUGUGAGGAAGGUGGGGAUGACGUCAAAUCAUCACGGCCCUCACGUCCUGGGCUACACACGUGCUACAAUGGUCGGUACAGAGAGCAGCCACUACGCGAGUAGGAGCGAAUCUAUAAAACCGAUCUCAGUUCGGAUCGCAGUCUGCAACUCGACUGCGUGAAGCUGGAAUCGCUAGUAAUCGGAUAUCAGCCAUGAUCCGGUGAAUACGUUCCCGGGCCUUGUACACACCGCCCGUCAAGCCAUGGAAGCUGGGAGUACCUGAAGUCGGUUACCGCAAGGAGCUGCCUAGGGUAAAACUGGUAACUGGGGCUAAGUCGUAACAAGGUAACCGUA
rnacentral:rRNA from 1 species